UAAUUUUACUUGGGGGGUCCACAUGGUUCAGGAGAGGUUGUGAAACUCUUGCACCUGACAGGAUUGCUCAUUACUAUCUUCAGAUUGAUCCACAGCUCUAUCAUUCAUGAGGUGGCAGAAAAGACGUCACAUUAAUUUCUCAGCAGAAUAAGCACAGCUUCCUAUUACCAUGGAUAAACAGUCCACAGUGGUGUUUCGUAAUGUGGGGCAAUGGUACUUCCCCCAAACCAGAGUGGAGUGCCACUACAGUCUGACCUCCGACCAUCAGUGGAGCAGCAGUGACUGGAUAGGGAUUUUUGAGAUGGGCUGUUCUUCACUGAAACAGUUUUACACAUAUACAUGGGCUCUUGUUCCUGAAGGCUACACUGAGGGUACCAGUGUCAGCUGCUGGGUACUUUUCCCAGCACACUACCUGCCCCGCCCCAGUGCUGUGGAGUAUCAGUUUAUAUAUGUGGAUAAGAUGGGAAAGGUGUGUGCUCGCAGUCGCCCCUUCACUUUCUGUACUCCCAAGCCGCUGGAGGAAUUGGAGACCCUGAAAGAGGAACGAGAGGAGGACGACGGAGAGGAGGAGCUGCUCCUAGUCAUCCCCAGGUCUCAGCUGCUGCAGAGUCGGCUGGAGGAAUGCUCAAAAAAACAAGCGGAUAUACAGCAGGCUCUGGACAUGGCUAAAAAGGAGGCAGAGAAUGAGAAAGAGAACAGCAAGAAAGCAAGGGAGAACUGGGAGCGCGAAAGGGAAGCAAUGAAGGAGGAGAUCUCAGAGCUUAGAGACAACUUGAGACACAACUGUGACAUGUUGAAGAAGAUCGAUGGAAAACACAAGAAUGUGAAAUAUAGUCAGGAAAACCUGACAUCUGAACUGAGUAAACUCAUGGCUGAAAAUGCUGAGAGUCAGCAGCGAAUCAAAGACCUGGAGGAGGAAAUCAAGGGCCUGAAUGACAGGGAGAAAGAGGAAAACGGGGAACUGGAAAGGCUGAAGGAGAGAGUGAAGAAAACGUCCAGUCAAAUGAAACACGAUGAGGAAAAGAGAAAGUGUCUGCAGGUGGAGAACGAGGCUGCUCUGGCGGAGGUGCGAGGGCUGCAGGAGCGUCUGGUGGCUAGUGAGCAAGUAGCCGAGAGCCUGCGUAGGGAGCUGAGAGAGCUGGGCACCCGUCAGGGCCAUACCCACACCGAGCUGCAUCAAGCCCGGCUGCAAGUAGCCCAGCUCACCCUGCUGCUCUCUGAAGAGAACUUGGUCCUCAGGGAGGAGCGUGCCAACUGGGUUCUAGAGAGAGAAGCUUACAAACAUGCAGCAGAAACGGAUACAAAGAAAUUACAAGAACUGAGCUGUGAGGUGCAGAGGAAGGAGGAGUGGCUACAGGAGGAGAGGGUGGAGAGGGAGAAACUAGAAGUAGAGCUUGGGCAAGAGAGAGAUUCCAAUCGAGUGCUGCUGAGUGAUACUAAGCGAGAGCUGCAGGAGCUGAAGGCCAGCGUGAGGAAAGCCCAGAAAGAGAGAGAGGAGCAGAAGGUGGAAAAACAGGAACUGGUGAACUACAUCCUUCAGUUAGAGCAGAGAUUGAGGAUGGUGACAGAAACUAAAUCAAAUGGGAUAAUUCCAACAUGCAUCUCUCCUGGCUCUCCCUCUGAAGAUGAUGAAGAUGCUUCUUCAGCUUCUCCCAGAUCAAUCUGUUCGCCUCUUUUCCUGUCCACUCACCUGGAACAGCCCAAAAGAGCUGAGCUCCUUGCUGCUGAGACACACGUCCACAGCAAAAAAGACACAUCAGCGUCUGACACACAGGAUUUGACAAGGAAGCACUGUGUGGAGUGUGGUGAAGGGAAGCAACUGGUCCUACUAGAACUCAUCGACCCCAUCCUGAGGUGACAAUUCUGGCUUUCUACCAGCCACACAGUGACAGUACACACCCUGUUUCCCUCCUCCACCUCUCAUAAAAUAUGAUCUGGCCGACUCCCCCAUGUGGUAACAAAAAGAAAGAUGGAUGGAAAGUUGCUUGUUUACCACUGUGAUGCAGGUUCAUGUGGGUCAUAAGAAACCUUUGGAAUUAUUCUGUUCUUGUUUUGUAGCUUUUCAUGUAUAAAUCGGCCUUCACAAAGGUCAGAUGUAGUGCAGAGCUUUUACCUCAUGGGUGUCCAUAUUCAAAGACAACAGCACAAUGUAUAAGUCUUAAGUGUCCAGAAUUAUUUUAUAAGUAUGGCUAAUGGUGUUAUUACUGAUUCAGGAUUAAUUAAACUCCUUUAGAAUUAAACAUGUUUAUUUUAGACUCCAUUUGUAAUCCCUAGAUUUUCUAGCUUUUUUAGCUGAUUACAACUAUUUUGAGGAAAGCGUCAUUGAUGCCUUAAUUAGCUUUGAUUAAAUACAUUUUCUUUUGGUGGCCUAUCAGCCCGUAACCUCUGCAUGUGAGUGUAAAUCUUGAAACCGUGUCAAAAGUGUGGGUGUGUGUGUUUACAGACAAGUGUGAAAUGUAGUGCUGCAGCUUGUUGAGCACAGUGUCAAGUUUGAAAAACAUGAAAGUUAAUUUAUGAAUUUUUUUGUUUGUUGAUCUGAGCUUCUGUUGAAGAGAUGGGGCUCUUCAAUAAAAUAUGAUGAUAAAUACA